AAGAUAAGAUAAGUUAGCUUUAUUAGCACUAACGCAUUGACAAUAAAUGGUUAUGGCAACAAAUUAAAGACAAACUACAAUAACAUAUAUACAAUGAAGGAGUGACAGUGGAUAAUUAUGAGAGAAAUAUAUAAAAAUAAAAGAGAAGCAUAUACAUUAUUACAGAAAUCAAGUACCUUUUAAUAAUGAGUUUCUCACCAACAAGCAUUCAUUCAAAUAGUUGACAACAAUUUUUAAUAUUGUUGGGGAAUUACUAUUUAGAAUUGAUAUAAGCAAGUUAUAUGAUAAAGAAGGUAAUUUGUUGU
rnacentral:lncRNA from 1 species